rnacentral:rRNA from 1 species
AGUCGAACGGUAACAUUUCUAGCUUGCUAGAAGAUGACGAGUGGCGGACGGGUGAGUAAUGCUUGGGGACUUGCCUUUGCGAGGGGGAUAACAGUUGGAAACGACUGCUAAUACCGCAUAAUGUCUUCGGACCAAACGGGGCCUUUAGCUCCGGCGCAAAGAGAGGCCCAAGUGAGAUUAGCUAGUUGGUAAGGUAACGGCUUACCAAGGCGACGAUCUCUAGCUGUUCUGAGAGGAAGAUCAGCCACACUGGGACUGAGACACGGCCCAGACUCCUACGGGAGGCAGCAGUGGGGAGUAUUGCACAAUGGGGGAAACCCUGAUGCAGCCAUGCCGCGUGUGUGAAGAAGGCCUUCGGGUUGUAAAGCACUUUCAGUUGUGAGGAAAAGUUAGUAGUUAAUACCUGCUAGCCGUGACGUUAACAACAGAAGAAGCACCGGCUAACUCCGUGCCAGCAGCCGCGGUAAUACGGAGGGUGCGAGCGUUAAUCGGAAUUACUGGGCGUAAAGCGCACGCAGGCGGUUUGUUAAGCUAGAUGUGAAAGCCCCGGGCUCAACCUG